rnacentral:snRNA from 1 species
GUGCGUCUUCGGCAGCAUCUAUAAUAAAAUUGAACGAUACAGAAGAAUUACCUGGCCCCUCAGCAAGGUGAAUCACGCAAAUUCGUGAAGCGUAUCCUAUAUUU